rnacentral:rRNA from 1 species
UACGUAGGGUGCAAGCGUUGUCCGGAAUUAUUGGGCGUAAAGAGCUCGUAGGCGGUUUGUCGCGUCUGCUGUGAAAACUGGAGGCUCAACCUCCAGCCUGCAGUGGGUACGGGCAGACUAGAGUGCGGUAGGGGAGAUUGGAAUUCCUGGUGUAGCGGUGAAAUGCGCAGAUAUCAGGAGGAACACCGGUGGCGAAGGCGCCACUCUGGGCUAACACUGACGCUCAUGCACGAAAGCGUGGGGAGCAAACAGG